GGCGCGGUGUGGGGCGCCUCGCGGGCGGUCCCUCUGCCACAAACCCAGGCGCCUUCCUGGGCCCUCGCUUGAUAGAGUCUCGGCCCUCGAGCCGCCAUAGUUUGGAGCCGCGCCUUCUCCUGUGCCUCCCACACCCUGAGCUCCCAAGACUCAGCCUAACACCAUUAUCAUCACCUCUCAGCCUUCCCCAGCCCUCGCUGUCUCCCACAUGACGAACUACUGAUAUGCAAGAUGCUACCAUAGGGGAAACUAUAUGAAGAGUACAAAGAACCUCU